UGCGUAGGCGGCGACAUUAGUCAGAAGUGAAAGUUGGCAGCUUAACUGCAGAAUUGCUUUUGAUACUGUGUUGCUUGAAUCAAGUUGAGGCUGGCGGAAUGUGACAUGUAGCGGUGAAAUGCUUAGAUAUGUCAUAGAACACCAAUUGCGAAGGCAGCUGGCUAGACUUGUAUUGACGCUGAGGCACGAAAGCGUGGGGAGCGAACAGGAUUAGAUACCCUGGUAGUC
rnacentral:rRNA from 1 species